ACCACCUGGGAAUCUUGUUAAAAUGCAACUUCUGAGUCAGUAGGUCUGCGAUGGGGCCCGAGAUCGUGCAUUUAUAGCAAGUUCCCAGCUGAAGCCAA
rnacentral:pre_miRNA from 1 species